rnacentral:misc_RNA from 1 species
GAUGAAGAACGUAGCGAAAUGCGAUAAGUAAUGUGAAUUGCAGAAUUCAGUGAAUCAUCGAAUCUUUGAACGCACAUUGCGCCCGCCAGUAUUCUGGCGGGCAUGCCUGUCCGAGCGUCAUUUCAACCAUCAAGCCCCGGGCUUGUGUUUGGGACCUGCGUCCGACGCAGGCCCUGAAAACCAGUGGCGGGCUCGCUGUCCACACCGAGCGUAGUAACUAACCUCGCUAUGGAGUGGCGCGGGCGCCUGCCGUAAAACCCCCAAUUUCACAAGGUUGACCUCGGAUCAGGUAGGAAUACCCGCUGAACUUAAGCAUAUCAAUAAGCGGAGGA